UUUAUAGUGUGUUGUUUUUUCAACCUCCCAGAUUGUGAAUUCCAGUUAUGUGCUUCUUAUUAGUUGCUGAAUGGAAAACUGCUUGAUGGCAGUAGGCCUAUUGUAUAAAGCAAAAAGGAAUUAAAGGAGAAAGAUGGAGAACCGGAAUGUGUGUAUCAAUUGUUAAAUGUGGCUGAAAUGUCAAGUCUUCGACACAGUGUGAGGGACUCUACUCCUAAUCAAGGAAGUCACAAUUGUUACUUGCAGAUAUCAUUUUAGUGAAAGUCAACAUAACAUGCCAGACCAAGUAACAAUACUUCAUAAUUUCAGAAAAAGUGCCCAUUAACAAAGUUUUUUCCCAUUUUUAUUUGGUAGUCAUGGGUGUGUAAAUGGCUAACGGCUAGAAACGGGCAUGGCCAAGCUGGGCAUGCCAUUUCUAUCAUGGAAAUGGGCUAUUACUAUUCUUACUAUUAUUAAUAUUCUUACUAUUCAAUUUAGGAUUAGAUCGUGUUUUCUGUCCAAGCUCAAGACGAAGACGUUUCAAUGAACGUCGAUGCAAUCGAUUACUCGUUAGUCGAUCCUAGAGGCAGUUUCUCAAUUAAUCCAACGACCAGUGAAGUGAAAAUAGCCAAACUGAUUGACCGUGACGU